UAAAAAAUGUUGUUUUGGUAGGUAUAUAGACAUAGACUCGGGCCGUAGGUCCAUGGUUAAUUUCGCACACUGAAGUGUGGAAUGAAAGAAAACCCAUUUGCUGUAUUGUUUAAUGUUUAUUAUUUAGACAGUGUAUCAACAACUUAACACGUACAUUGUAGUACUUACAUAAACGUACAUGUAACAGUUGAACAUUAUCUCUUCAACGUUAUUAUAAUUCAAAUUUAGAAAACAAUAUAUCGCGAUACUCUGUUGCCGUAUCGCGAUACUCUAAUAUUCGCAAUACCCAACACUAUUAGUGUAAUCAUCCUUUGCGUAGUCCUAUGCGCAUCCUACUGGCGCAUGUUCGAGUUCGGGUAAAUCUUGCUCACUCAUAUGCUUUGACAGAUAGACUAAUAACCAAGGUGUAAUACAAGCGCUUGCAUGCAUAUGAUGGCCUAGUUUUCGAUCGAGGCAAAACUGGUCAGAUUAUGAAAAGAUACAUGUACAUUGUUGACGUAAUACAUAAUAUGCUCUUUAUUGAUAAAAUGUACAUAAGUUAGAAACCAGUAAGUACUUUGAAGUGCCUUUGUACGCUUAUAGUCAUCGAUAUAAUGACGAUAUUAGGCGUGUAUACGGAGAGGUAGUAUGGAUUUCCCGAUGCAGAUUAACAGAAGAAGCGGAUGACGGAUAGCGGAUAAUUCAAAUGCUAACCGGAUAGCACCAUCUGGAGGUGUAAAUCUACCCGUACACCGGCUAUCCGGUUACCCGUCCUAGCACUAAAUCAGACGUUACCUCACAAAAAUAUUGUAGCUCCUCUUUCCGUGUCAAAAAGUUAACCAAUCAGCUAUAUUUGGUUUUAUCACAUGCCUAUGCAUAUAUUCCUCCGCCACCACAAACUCAUGCGAUCCGAAUAGUCAGAUCAACACAUAUGUGUGGUUUUGCCUAUGUAUCUUACCUAUACCACACUCCGCCCUUCUUGCGACUGCAACUAAGUGUGUAUUUAGUGAGAACGACUGAAUUAUCAGCUCGUAAUUAUGGAGUAACAACGAAAUUGUCUAAAUGGAGAGCGGUGCAAGACGACAUGGAAGACCAAAAAAAACCAAAACAUUUCCACCUAGGAAAAAAAUAAGACUAGCAGAGCCAGAUGACAGACAUAAUGAUGAAGCGAGACUAGCAGACGACGGGCAUAAAGCGAGACUAGCAGAUGACAGGCGUGAAACGUCUACUGAGCUGCCAAAUAUGGUUUCUUCUCCGACAGACCAGCCUACAGAUGACACCAACAACAAUAAAAGGCAGAAGAAGACGCUCACAAUAGAGCAUUUGCUAGAAUUGGGAC